AGAGUUUGAUCCUGGCUCAGAAUGAACGCUGGCGGCGUGCUUAACACAUGCAAGUCGCACGAGAACGCUUCAGCUUGCUGAAGCUAGUAAAGUGGCGCACGGGUGAGUAACGCGUGGGUAAUCUACCCCCGAAUUGGGGAUAACAUUGCGAAAGCGAUGCUAAUACCGAAUAAUAUCUUAAGAACCUCGGUUUUUAAGAUUAAAGGUGGCCUCUACAUGAAAGCUUCUGUUUGGGGAUGAGCCCGCGUACCAUUAGCUUGUUGGUAGGGUAAUGGCCUACCAAGGCUACGAUGGUUAGCUGGUCUGAGAGGAUGAUCAGCCACACUGGAACUGACACACGGUCCAGACUCCUACGGGGGGCAGCAGUGAGGAAUUUUGCGCAAUGGGGGAAACCCUGACGCAGCAACGCCGCGUGAGUGAUGAAGGCUUUCGGGUCGUAAAGCUCUGUCAAGUGGGAAGAACCCACAUGGUGAUAAUACCGCCAUGUGUUGACGGUACCACUGAAGGAAGCACCGGCUAACUCCGUGCCAGCAGCCGCGGUAAUACGGGGGGUGCAAGCGUUAUUCGGAAUUACU
rnacentral:rRNA from 1 species